AGAGUUUGAUCAUGGCUCAGAAUCAACGCUGGCGGCGCGCUUAACGCAUGCAAGUCGAACGAGAAAGGGUAGCAAUACCUGAGUAAAGUGGCGUACGGGUGAGUAACACGUGGAUCAUCUGCCCUUUGGUGGGGAAUAACUCUGGGAAACCGGAGCUAAUACCGCAUAAGUCCGAGAGGAGAACGCAGCAAUGCGCCGAAGGAGGAGUCCGCGGCUGAUUAGCUAGUUGGUGAGGUAAUGGCUCACCAAGGCGACGAUCGGUAGCCGGCCUGAGAGGGCACACGGCCACACUGGCACUGAGACACGGGCCAGACUCCUACGGGAGGCAGCAGUGGGGAAUCUUGCACAAUGGGGGAAACCCUGAUGCAGCGACGCCGCGUGAGUGAUGAAGCCCUUCGGGGUGUAAAGCUCUUUCGACGGGAACGAUAAUGACGGUACCCGGAGAAGAAGCUGCGGCUAACUACGUGCCAGCAGCCGCGGUAAUACGUAGGCAGCAAGCGUUGUUCGGAAUUACUGGGCGUAAAGAGUACGUAGGUGGUUUGCCAAGUCCGAUGUGAAAUCUCCUGGCUUAACUGGGAGGGUGCGUUAGAUACUGGCAGNNUUGAGUGUGGGAGAGGAGAGCGGAAUUCCUGGUGUAGCGGUGAAAUGCGUAGAUAUCAGGAGGAACGCCUGUGGUGUAGACGGCUCUCUGGACCAUUACUGACACUGAGGUACGAAAGCGUGGGUAGCAAACAGGAUUAGAUACCCUAGUAGUCC
rnacentral:rRNA from 1 species